UCAAGUUAACUCAGGUACUAGAGUAUGGGGGGCGGGGGGAAAUGUACUGCAGCAUUAAUGAAAACUAGAGCUGGGAGAAUGUGUUUUUCCUUGAGUAAAUUGCAAAUGCCAGUGCACCGCAUUUGACCAGGAGGGAAGAAUGAGAGGCCCUGGUAGCAAAGCCAGUGGAAGAAGUUUUACUAGGAGCAGUUGUAUCAUUCGUGUACUUUUUUUGUGUCAUACAAGUGAGAGUGAAAUGGUCCAUGUCUGUGUUUUGAGGAAUUUUUUGCCUUUCUUUUCAGAAACUAAUUCUGAAGCAAGCCCUUAUUGUUGUGCUGCAGUGGUGUUUCAAUCACAAUUUUAGUGUUCGACUGUAUGCUUUAGUUGCUCUUAAGAAACUCUGGACUGUGUGUAAAGUGUUAAGUGUUGAAGAAUUUGAUGCCCUGACUCCUGUGAUUGAAUCCAGCCUCCAUCAAGUGGAAAGCAUGCACGGAGCAGGGAAUGCCAAGAAGAAUUGGCAACGCAUUCAAGAGCAUUUCUUUUUUGCAGCAUUUCACCCACUCAAGGAUUAUUGUCUAGAGGCAGUGUCUGGCUUGUAAACAAUGGAAGGGAAUAUUUAACUCUAAACAGAAAUCUGUUCUGACAUUAAAAGGAAAUGAGUGAGAACAUUUGUGCAGACCAUAUUUUACAUCCUUCCACGCCUUUCAGGCCUUAUUGAAGAUGAAUGGAUCACCAUUGAUAAAUUUACCAGAUUCACUGAUGUUCCUUUAGCUGCGGGAUUUCAGUGGUACCUUUCUCAAACUCAACUUAGUAAACUAAAACCAGGUGACUGGUCUCAGCAAGACAUAGGUACUAAUUUGGUCGAAGCAGAUAACCAAGCGGAGUGGACCGACGUUCAGAAGAAGAUUAUCCCGUGGAACAGUCGUGUUCCCGACUUAGACCUGGAGCUCCUGUUUCAGGAUCGUGCUGCCAGACUUGGAAAGUCAAUUAGUAGGCUCAUCGUCGUGGCCUCGCUCAUCGACAAACCGACCAAUUUAGGAGGACUGUGCAGGACCUGUGAGGUAUUUGGGGCUUCAGUGCUCGUUGUUGGCAGCCUUCAGUGUAUCAGCGACAAACAGUUUCAGCACCUCAGUGUCUCUGCAGAACAGUGGCUUCCUCUAGUGGAGGUAAAACCACCUCAGCUAAUUGACUAUCUGCAGCAGAAGAAAACAGAAGGUUAUACCAUCAUUGGAGUGGAACAAACUGCCAGAAGUUUAGACCUAACCCAAUAUUGCUUUCCUGAGAAAUCUCUACUCUUGUUGGGAAAUGAACGUGAGGGAAUUCCAGCAAAUCUGAUCCAACAGUUGGACGUUUGUGUGGAAAUUCCUCAACAGGGCAUUAUCCGCUCCCUGAACGUCCACGUGAGUGGAGCCCUGCUGAUCUGGGAGUACACCAGGCAGCAGCUGCUCUCGCACGGAGAUACCAAGCCAUGAUGUGCCUUCCUCAGUGAACUGCUGCUGCUGUUCAGACUUUUUUUAAAAAAACUAUUUGGACUAAAGAAACAGAUUCUGAAAUUUAUUGUGAUAAUUUGUAUUUCUUUUUUCUUGCAAUUUAAUGCCAAAAGUUUGCCAUGUGCCUUAAACAUAUUACUAUAUAUUUUCCCCUUUAAUAAACACUUUUUGUUAAAUUGUA
rnacentral:sRNA from 1 species